AACGAACGCUGGCGGCAUGCCUAACACAUGCAAGUCGAACGAGACCUUCGGGUCUAGUGGCGCACGGGUGCGUAACGCGUGGGAACCUGCCCUUAGGUCCGGAAGAACUCCCCGAAAGGGGUGCUAAUACCGGAUAAUGUCCUCCGACCAAAGAUUUAUCGCCUUUGGAUGGGCCCGCGUUGGAUUAGCUAGUUGGUAGCGUAAAAGCCUACCAAGGCGACGAUCCAUAGCUGGUCUGAGAGGAUGAUCAGCCACACUGGGACGGAGACACGGCCCAGAAUACUACGGGAGGCAGCAGUGGGGAAUAUUGGACAAUGGGCGAAAGCCUGAUCCAGCAAUGCCGCGUGAGUGAUGAAGGCCUUAGGGUUGUAAAGCUCGUUUACCCGGGAUGAUAAUGACAGUACCGGGAGAAUAAGCUCCGGCUAACUCCGUG
rnacentral:rRNA from 1 species